UUUUGAUUGACACUUAACAAAUUCCCUUAUUCACCUGCCUGGCCAUGGGUGGGUGCUCUAUAGCCUAUACUAUGCAUUACCACUUAAGAUGGAGUCAUUAUUGUGGAAGGCAUCAAUCGUAAAAAAUAGAUGCAAGAGUAAUUAAUUAAGUCUUGUUGACACUAGCCUGAGUAUCAGGCCAUAUUUUUCCUUCCUUAUUGCGGGUGGAUGGAAGGGAAAAGAGAGCCUGACACAAAUCCCUGUCUGGCUCUAAAAUUAAAAUCCAGCUUUUCAACCAGUUGGUCUAUCAGACAAAAAAUUUUAAUCUGGCUUUUGAUUGGUUUAGUGCUAUAAUUAGAUUGUUGUUAUUGUUGUAUGUUCCCUUGGAACAUUUUGAUUGGAUACUAAAUAUAACCUUCACUGUGGGUGGAGAGCGACCAGGCUAAGGUUUGUGUCACACUCUAUUUGUAAAAUACUGAUACUCGGGCUACGCAAACAGUGUUGCUGGUAUUCCUCUCCUUAUAGGUCUUGGAAUUCAUUAUUAUAUUUGGGUUCUCUUUCAAGAAGCCCCAUUUUUAUAUUUUUUUAAAUCGUGCCACUUCCCUUAUGAAAAACUCCACAUAUUUCACAUAUGAAACAAAAAUUAGAAUGAAAUUAAAAAAAGUCUUUCAUAUAAAUAAAUAUGUAAAUAAAGGUUUGUGUGUAAAAAUGUACAUUGCGAAUUUUUUACA